rfam:Picea glauca, whole genome shotgun sequence.
ACAUGCCUACAACAUAGUGUCAAUGCACUGGAUCUCAUUAGAACUCCGCAGUUAAGCGUGCUCAGGCUAGAGUAGUACUAAUAUGGGUGACCGCCCAAGAAGUCCUAGUGUUUUACAUGCC